GAUGAACGCUGGCGGCGUGCCUAAUACAUGCAAGUCGAACGAAGCGGGGACGGGGGAGUAACACGUGGAUAACCUCCUAUAAGACUGGGAGACAUUCGGGAAAACGGAGCUAAACCGGAUACGUAUGCAUGGAUCCGUGCUGCAUUAGCUAGUUGGUAAGGUAACGGCUUACCAAGGCAACGAUGCAUAGCCGACCUGAGAGGGUGAUCGCCCACAUUGGAACUGAGACACGGCCCAGACUCCUACGGGAGGCAGCAGUAGGGAAUCUUCCGCAAUGGGCGAAGUCCUGCCGGAGCAACGCCGCGUGAGGGAUGCAGGUCUUCGGUUCGUAAACCUCUGUUAUUAGGGAAGCGGUACCUAAUCAGAAAGCCACGGCUAACUACGUGCCAGCAGCCGCGGUAAUAC
rnacentral:rRNA from 1 species